UACGUAGGUGGCAAGCGUUGUCCGGAAUUAUUGGGCGUAAAGCGCGCGCAGGCGGCCUUUUAAGUCUAAUGUGAAAGCCCCCGGCUCAACCGGGGAGGGUCAUUGGAAACUGGAAGGCUUGAGUGCAGAAGAGAAGAGCGGAAUUCCACGUGUAGCGGUGAAAUGCGUAGAGAUGUGGAGGAACACCAGUGGCGAAGGCGGCUCUUUGGUCUGUAACUGACGCUGAGGCGCGAAAGCGUGGGGAGCAAACAGG
rnacentral:rRNA from 1 species